GGGUUGUGAGGUUAAGCGACUAAGCGUACACGGUGGAUGCCCUGGCAGUCAGAGGCGAUGAAGGACGUGCUAAUCUGCGAUAAGCGCCGGUAAGGUGAUAUGAACCGUUAUAACCGGCGAUUUCCGAAUGGGGAAACCCAGUGUGAUUCGUCACACUAUCAUUAACUGAAUCCAUAGGUUAAUGAGGCGAACCGGGGGAACUGAAACAUCUAAGUACCCCGAGGAAAAGAAAUCAACCGAGAUUCCCCCAGUAGCGGCGAGCGAACGGGGAGGAGCCCAGAGCCUGAAUCAGCAUGUGUGUUAGUGGAAGCGUCUGGAAAGGCGCGCGAUACAGGGUGACAGCCCCGUACACAAAAGCGCAUGUGCUGUGAGCUCGAUGAGUAGGGCGGGACACGUGGUAUCCUGUCUGAAUAUGGGGGGACCAUCCUCCAAGGCUAAAUACUCCUGACUGACCGAUAGUGAACCAGUACCGUGAGGGAAAGGCGAAAAGAACCCCGGCGAGGGGAGUGAAAAAGAACCUGAAACCGUGUACGUACAAGCAGUGGGAGCACAGGUUUACCUGUGUGACUGCGUACCUUUUGUAUAAUGGGUCAGCGACUUAUAUUCUGUAGCAAGGUUAACCGUAUAGGGGAGCCGGAGGGAAACCGAGUCUUAACCGGGCGUUAAGUUGCAGGGUAUAGACCCGAAACCCGGUGAUCUAGCCAUGGGCAGGUUGAAGGUUGGGUAACACUAACUGGAGGACCGAACCGACUAAUGUUGAAAAAUUAGCGGAUGACCUGUGGCUGGGGGUGAAAGGCCAAUCAAACCGGGAGAUAGCUGGUUCUCCCCGAAAGCUAUUUAGGUAGCGCCUCGUGAAUUCAUCUCCGGGGGUAGAGCACUGUUUCGGCUAGGGGGCCAUCCCGGCUUACCAACCCGAUGCAAACUGCGAAUACCGGAGAAUGUUAUCACGGGAGACACACGGCGGGUGCUAACGUCCGUCGUGAAGAGGGAAACAACCCAGACCGCCAGCUAAGGUCCCAAAGUCAUGGUUAAG
rnacentral:rRNA from 1 species